CGUUUUACAAUGGGCUCACGUUACGGACGGUGAACUCAUCGCGAUCGGCCUUCGCCUCAAUCCACUUCUCCCCUCUCUUCUUCCAGACGUUCGAGAGAGGGGAUGGAGAGGUACAGGGGCCUUGUAAAGUGGUG